GUCGAGAAUUUUGGGCAAUGGACGAAAGUCUGACGGAGCAACGCCGCGUGAGUGAUGAAGGUCUUCGGAUUGUAAAGCUCUGUUAAUCGGGACGAAAGAGCCUAGUGUGAAUAAUGCUAGGAAGUGACGGUACCGGAAUAGAAAGCCACGGCUAACUACGUGCCAGCAGCCGCGGUAAUACGUAGGUGGCAAGCGUUGUCCGGAAUUAUUGGGCGUAAAGCGCGCGCAGGCGGAUCUGCCAGUCUGUCUUAAAAGUUCGGGGCUUAACCCCGUGAUGGGAUGGAAACUACAGAUCUAGAGUAUCGGAGAGGAAAGUGGAAUUCCUAGUGUAGCGGUGAAAUGCGUAGAUAUUAGGAAGAACACCAGUGGCGAAGGCGACUUUCUGGACGAAAACUGACGCUGAGGCGCGAAAGCCAGGGGAGCGAACGGGAUUAGAAACCCCGGUAGUCC
rnacentral:rRNA from 1 species